AUACGGAGGAUCCGAGCGUUAUCCGGAUUUAUUGGGUUUAAAGGGUGCGCAGGCGGCCAUUUAAGUCAGCGGUUAAAUCGUGGGGCUCAACCCCAUUCUGCCGUUGAUACUGGGUGGCUUGAUUGCGGUCGAGGUUGGCGGAAUUCGUUGUGUAGCGGUGAAAUGCAUAGAUAUGACGAAGAACAACGAUUGCGGAGUCAGCAGACCAGAUCGCAAAUGACGCUCAUGCACGAAAGUGCGGGGAUCGAACAGGAUUAGAUACCCUGGUAGUCCGCACAGUAAACGAUGAAUACGUGUUUUCGGCGAUAUAAUGUCGGAGGCAAAGCGAAAGCGAUAAGUAUUCCACCUGGGGAGUACGCCGGCAACGGUGAAACUCAAAGGAAUUGACGGGG
rnacentral:rRNA from 1 species